rnacentral:lncRNA from 1 species
AGCUACAUCCGUCACCUGACACGGCCCUACCAGGAACAGCCGCGCUCCCGCGGAUUCUGGUGCUGCUCGCGUCCCCGCUCCCCUAUUCCCCUUAUUUUAUUCCUGGCUCCCCUCGUCGAAAGUCUUCCAUUCUUCAAACUAGAUUAUUUAAAAAUGAAAAAGGAAGAAAGGAAAGCGAGGUCAUCUCAUUGCUCUAUCCGCCAAUCAGGAGGCUGAAUGUCAGUUUUGAACUAAAAGCCGCUCCGCUCCUCUUCUAGAUUUGGAAAACAAGCGAAAUUAAACUAAACCGCUGCACGCCUCUGACGCGACAUCUGGACACGGCGCGGCGCUGGCGCUGCCGGAGCUGUCGACCCGGCCUGGCGCCGGACUAGUGUCCCUUUUGAUGAGAAGAAUAAGCCUCAUUCUGAUUCAACAGCAGAGAUCAAAGAAAAGACUUCUGUUUUCUGGCCACCAGAUAUAUGUUAUCUGUGCUUAAAGAAUUGAAAAACACACAUCAAAGGAGAAUUUUCUUGGAAAGAGAGGGUUCAAGCAUCACUGUUAGGUGUGCUGGAAUCCUUUCCCGAGUCAGUACUGCUUUCUAGAAGAAAACCGGGGAGAUCUAUUUGGAAUGUAUCUAACUCCAAAGAAACCAUCAGAGGUAACAGUAGAGACGGGGUUUCACCAUGUUGGCCAGACUGGUCUUGAACUCUCGACCUCGUGAUUCGCCCGCCUCGGCCUCCCAAAGUGCUGGGAUUACAGGUGUGAGACACCACACCCGGCGGAUAGAGAGAAUUUUGACAGGUACCAGAGAUAUAAUAAUGAGAAACAGACAUGCUCCCUCCCCUCAUUGAGGUUACAGCUUAGUGUGGAGACACACAGAUGCCUAACGCACUAUGGUAUGGAAGGUGCUAUGGACACAGUGCUCAAAUCCAUGAUCUACAUAGGUGGAGAACUUCAGUAGAGGAAGUGGCAGGAAUUUGGGAAUGAGGAGCACAGUGAUUAAACUGGGGCCAUUCAUAUGAGAGUUUAAGAACUCAGACCAGUGACUUAGAUUGGCUUCUCUCACAUGGCAAGAAACAUUGCUGCUAGCACUUCCCGAGUUCUACGUUCUACAACAUCCACCACUGCUAUGUCUCACAGUCCAGACUUGGAGUACAAGUAAUAAGAAGAAUAAAACUUAAUCCCUUAAGUAGAUUCACCAUAAGUUAGCUCAGAGCAAUUCCAGUGCAAGUAUGGUCUGUGAUCCAGUAGUAUCUUACAGACAGCAAGUUGAACAUUGUGGGAUGCAUGAGCUAUUGAGGCCUUUGCAGCUUUCUGCUACAUGGAGGCUAGGGCCAGAGUCAAGAUUUAUGCUUUGCAGCACACUGGUCAGCUGUUUUUGCAAAUCAGAUUAAAUGAUUUUUAAAUGAGGCUGAGAGCAUGGGAGAUACUAAUGUGUGUUUCCUUGUGAGCUACUGCAUAAGUUAGGAAAUUGAAAUACAGAAAGAUGAAAAGUGAUUUGCCCAAGCAUAUAGAUCAAAGCUGUGGCAGAACCAGGACUGGAACCUAUAUCUCUCUACUAAUGGUUUUUUUAAAAAAAUAACCUUGUUUCAAAAAUAUUAAAAAGUCACAAGAAAGGUAAACAUGUGGAUAAACAAAAUGAAGAAAAUAAAAAUUAUCCAGUAAUAACAUA